UACGGGGGGAGCAAGCGUUGUUCGGAUUUACUGGGCGUAAAGGGCGCGUAGGCGGCCAGCACAAUUCAGUUGUGAAAUCUCCGGGCUUAACUCGGAAAGGUCAACUGAUACUGUGCGGCUAGAGUGCGGAAGGGGCAACUGGAAUUCUUGGUGUAGCGGUGAAAUGCGUAGAUAUCAAGAGGAACACCUGCGGCGAAGGCGGGUUGCUGGGCCGACACUGACGCUGAGGCGCGAAAGCUAGGGGAGCAAACGGG
rnacentral:rRNA from 1 species